AGUGAACGCUGGCGGUAGGCCUAACACAUGCAAGUCGAACGGCAGCACAGUAAGAGCUUGCUCUUACGGGUGGCGAGUGGCGGACGGGUGAGGAAUACAUCGGAAUCUACUUUUUCGUGGGGGAUAACGUAGGGAAACUUACGCUAAUACCGCAUACGACCUACGGGUGAAAGCAGGGGAUCUUCGGACCUUGCGUGAUUGAAUGAGCUGAUGUCGGAUUAGCUAGUUGGCGGGGUAAAGGCCCACCAAGGCGACGAUCCGUAGCUGGUCUGAGAGGAUGAUCAGCCACACUGGAACUGAGACACGGUCCAGACUCCUACGGGAGGCAGCAGUGGGGAAUAUUGGACAAUGGGCGCAAGCCUGAUCCAGCCAUACCGCGUGGGUGAAGAAGGCCUUCGGGUUGUAAAGCCCUUUUGUUGGGAAAGAAAAGCAGCAGGUUAAUACCCCGCUGUUCUGACGGUACCCAAAGAAUAAGCACCGGCUAACUUCGUG
rnacentral:rRNA from 1 species